AUAGGUCUCGACCAAAUCUUGUGCCAGCAGUCGCGGUAAGACAAGGGAGACGAGUGUUAUUCAUCUUUAACAGGUAUAUAGGGUACCUAGACGGUGUGCAAUGGCUUAAAUAAGUACCUGGUACACUUGAGUUUGAUAUGUGAGAGGAAUAUGUCGGAAUUGUUGGAGGAAAGAUGAAAUUUGUUAAUACCAAUAGGACUGAUAACGGCGAAGGCAAACCUCUAUGUACAUGUACUUGCUAUUUCUGUUUUUAUUAGAGCAAAAUAGCAAUGUACUAUAACUGACGUUGAGGGACGAAGGCUCAGAGAGUGAAGAGGAUUAGAUACCCCCGUAACCUGGGCAGACAAUGAUGAGUGCCAUAGGUUGGCUUUAAGGCGGAACUAUAAAUGAAAGUGGAAGCACUCCACCUCAAGA
rnacentral:rRNA from 1 species